UAUGGAUUGCCGAGCUGUAGG
rnacentral:piRNA from 1 species